ACACUAGGUGGGAUAGCCUCAAUGUCAAAACAGUCUUCUUUUCAAUGACACUAGGUGGGAUAGCCCCAAUGUCAAAACAGUCUUCUUUUCAAUGACACUAGGUGGGAUAGCCCCAAUGUCAAAACAGUCUUCUUUUCAAUGACACUAGGUGGGAUAGCCUCAAUGUCAAAACAGUCUUCUUUUCAAUGACACUAGGUGGGAUAGCCUCAAUGUCAAAACAGUCUUCUUUUCAAUGACACUAGGUGGGAUAGCCUCAAUGUCAAAACAGUCUUCUUUUCAAUGACACUAGGUGGGAUAGCCUCAAUGUCAAAACAGUCUUCUUUUCAAUGACACUAGGUGGGAUAGCCUCAAUGUCAAAACAGUCUUCUUUUCAAUGACACUAGGUGGGAUAGCCUCAAUGUCAAAACAGUCUUCUUUUCAAUGACACUAGGUGGGAUAGCCUCAAUGUCAAAACAGUCUUCUUUUCAAUGACACUAGGUGGGAUAGCCUCAAUGUCAAAACAGUCUUCUUUUCAAUGACACUAGGUGGGAUAGCCUCAAUGUCAAAACAGUCUUCUUUUCAAUGACACUAGGUGGGAUAGCCUCAAUGUCAAAACAGUCUUCUUUUCAAUGACACUAGGUGGGAUAGCCUCAAUGUCAAAACAGUCUUCUUUUCAAUGACACUAGGUGGGAUAGCCUCAAUGUCAAAACAGUCUUCUUUUCAAUGACACUAGGUGGGAUAGCCUCAAUGUCAAAACAGUCUUCUUUUCAAUGACACUAGGUGGGAUAGCCUCAAUGUCAAAACAGUCUUCUUUUCAAUGACACUAGGUGGGAUAGCCCCAAUGUCAAAACAGUCUUCUUUUCAAUGACACUAGGUGGGAUAGCCCCAAUGUCAAAACAGUCUUCUUUUCAAUGACACUAGGUGGGAUAGCCUCAAUGUCAAAACAGUCUUCUUUUCAAUGACACUAGGUGGGAUAGCCCCAAUGUCAAAACAGUCUUCUUUUCAAUGACACUAGGUGGGAUAGCCCCAAUGUCAAAACAGUCUUCUUUUCAAUGACACUAGGUGGGAUAGCCCCAAUGUCAAAACAGUCUUCUUUUCAAUGACACUAGGUGGGAUAGCCCCAAUGUCAAAACAGUCUUCUUUUCAAUGACACUAGGUGGGAUAGCCUCAAUGUCAAAACAGUUUUAACGUUUUAUCGACACAAACAUAUUACUUGUGUAUUUAAAAAAAAAACACCUUAUUAACUACACAAACACGAAAAACACUUGUUUUGUCAAUUAACAAUAAAUCACUGAUAUAGAUUAGGGGGGAAAUAUAGAGGUAUAGAGGGGUAUAUAUGAUUAGGGGGAAAUAUAGAGGUAUAGAGAGGUAUAUAUGAUUAGGGGGGAAAUAUAGGGGUAUAGAGGGGUAUAUAUGAUUAGGGGGGAAAUAUAGAGGUAUAGAGGGGUAUAUAUGAUUAGGGGGGAAAUAUAGAGGUAUAGAGGGGUAUAUAUGAUUAGGGGGGAAAUAUAGAGGUAUAGAGGGGUAUAUAUGAUUAGGGGGGAAAUAUAGAGGUAUAGAGGGGUAUAUAUGAUUAGGGGGGAAAUAUAGAGGUAUAUAUGAUUAGGGGGGAAAUAUAGAGGUAUAGAGGGGUAUAUAUGAUUAGGGGGGAAAUAUAGAGGUAUAGAGGGGUAUAUAUGAUUAGGGGGGAAAUAUAGAGGUAUAGAGGGGUAUAUAUGAUUAGGGGGGAAAUAUAGAGGGGUAUAUAUGAUUAGGGGGGAAAUAUAGAGGUAUAGAGGGGUAUAUAUGAUUAGGGGGGAAAUCAGAUUGUUUCUUGUUAGAUAAUCUGCAGAAGACAGUCGGCUACAUUUUGAAGUGUUGCAUUUCAUUCAAGUGGGUUGCUAAUGCAACACUUUUUUUUGUUAAAUCACAUAAAUAGGACUCUUUCAAAACCUGGAUUUUUCCCCUGAUGAAGCUAAUAUCCACAUCAUGCUGAAAUCAAUAGAACAGGAGACAAACAUUUAGGCUUCUACAUUGUGACGUCAUUAGAAUGAUCCUACUACAAUGUUAAAACAUUCUACAUUGUGACAUCAUUAAAAUACUCCUACUACAAUGUUAAAACAUUCUACAUUGUGACAUCAUUUCAUUGAUAUCAUGAAACAAGUCCUUCAU